GACGAACGCUGGCGGCGGGCCUAACACAUGCAAGUCGAACGGAAAGGCCAUGAUCCUUUGGGGUGUUCGAGUGGCGAACGGGUGAGUAACACGUGAGUAACCUGCCCUUUACUUUGGGGUAACUUCAGGUAACUGGGGCUACUACCGCAUCGUAACGCCUGAUGCAUAGAGGGGGUUGGAAAGUUUCGGCGGUUGGGCAUGGACUCGCGGCUUAUCAGCUUGUUGGUGGGGUAGUGGUUUACCAAGGCUGUGACGGAUAGCCGACCUGAGAGGGUGACCGGCCACCUGAGUACUGAGAUACGCCCCAGACUCCGAAGUGAGGCAGGGGUCGUAAGGAUUGCACAAUGAUCGGAAGUCUAAUGCAGCAACGUCGGGUGUGGGAGGACGGUCUGGGGGUUGUGAACCGAGUACAGCUGUGACGUAGCGUCAGUGACGUUAAUGGCUGAAGAAGCACCGGCUAACUACGUG
rnacentral:rRNA from 1 species